GGAGCUGGGGUCCCAAGGGCAGUCCAGACAACCUGAACCUGUGACACUCACCCUGCCCACACACUCUCAGAGCUGCAGCUUUCACGGGGACCCAAUUCUUGCUAAUUCUUUGUAGGUGACAUGAAUGCUUGUAAAUGAGCUUGCUGAAUGGGAGACCAAGAACGAUGAUAUUGAGCUGUUACUACAUGCCAGACAUUUAACCCUUUCAUCCAGGUUAUCUCAAUCAUUCCUUACAGAAAGGCUUUUGAGAUGUCCUUGCAACUGGAGGUGCCAUAUGAUACAGUUCUGCCCAAAGACAAGAAAGUGAAUGUCUGUUGAGGGCUUCCUAUAAGGCCAAUACAUACAGGUGUUCCCAACAACAGGUAAGUCAAUUCAGCUGGUUGGAUUUUUCACUUUUCAUCUGAAUGUUUACAUGUAUCUGAAUGUUUCCAUAGACAUAGACUGAGCGUGUGACUUGAGUCAAAGUUAAUUUGAGUAAGAAACCAAGGGAGAAUUUUAUUUCUUUUUAUUGAUGCCUCAGUCUCUUUCCAUUUUUUCAUAGAGACCCAGGAGUCCAUGUUAAAAGUGUCCUAAAGAGGAGGUAAAGGCUAAGGAAUUUGAGAACCCUAAGAUUUUCUUUGAAAUUCUGUGGAGAUGAUGCUAAGAGGAUCACUUAUAAAUGCUUAUUGGAUGUAAUUUCCAUGUUGGACAGGUGAUAUUUCCAGGGAGAAGCUUAAGGGAUUGUAGGUAAUAUAAAGUCUCAAGGUAGAAAACACUGACUCUGAGACUGUGUAUUUAUAAUGUGUGUGUGCAUGUGUAUGUGUAAUUCAUUUGCUGAUCUUUGUUUAACUUUUUAUUAAACUAUAAUGUAUGUGCAGAAAAAAAUGCACAUAUUAUAACAUAGAGCUUAAAGAAUUUUCACAAAUGACCAUAUCUUUGAACCCAAUACCCAGGUCACAAAACAGAACAUUACCAGAACCCUAAAAACCCUUGUUCUCCCUUCUAAUAACUACCUUUUUGGCCAACAAUAACUACCAGGCUUCCAUUCUUACCUUUUUACAAAACAAACCAAUGAGUGGAAGCGCAAGGUCACCCCUUCUCCUGUUUUCACUUGCUCGCGAUUGACAUGGGGAAGUAAAACCUGUACUAUGGCACAUUUAAUUAUGGGAAAAUGAAAAGAAAGAAAUAAAAACCAGACCAACAAAGCAAAGAUUUAAGUUGGCAUCGCUUUCCAUAUCAUUGUGAUGCCGGCAGACACUCAAUAAACAUAUCAGCAUUGUUAAAAUGAUUUAUCAGCCAAAUAGUUGAAUGUAAAAUAUUAUCAAUACAGGUGUCAUCAUUGAUCUUUCUUGGGUCUCACUGCUGAAGAAUGGGGCUGUAAGAUGAUUUCAACAAACAAUCCUUGACAGGAAACCAAAGGCAACAAGGCACAGGGACAGACAGCUGACAAAUGCAGUAUGGGGCCAUUAAAGCAUGUGAUGAAUUUGCCAGGAAAGUAUAUAUUUGUGCAAGAGGUGAGCUCAUAUCUCCCAUAAAUUUGUCAGCCGUGACACAGUGUUCUCCGGCUUGGCAUGAGUAAUGCCUUGCUAUUUGCGCCUUUGUCUGGCAAAAGCUCUAUCAGUCACUCCAGGGUUAUUUACAAAGAAACGUGUCUAUCAGUUACAAGGACAUGACUUUGCUGCUAAAAGAUAACAAAAGAAGAAAUCAGGCAGUGGCCUCUCAGCGAGGGAUGCGUCUUUUCCAGACAAGCUCUGGACUGGAAUGAAUCAGAUGGACGGCAAUUGGCCGGGCUGGCCCAGUGCCUGGCAUGACCAGCCUUAGUGCAUUUAUCCACACUGAUUAGAUUAGAAAUUAUUAAUAGGGGGCUACGGAGUAGAGCAAAAGGUCAUUUAGAGUUUAAUUCUGUUCUCAGAUAACUUCAUUUCGGCUGAUGGGAUUGUUAUUGUAGGGGUUUUAUAUGUUUAUAGGAAACAAUAUACUCAAUAAUGAAGUCCUGCCUCCUUCUGCAAGGUCAGGAAAGCUAUUGUGUAGCUAGAUUGAAGUCUUCACAAUUGUGUUAAUUAAGUAACAGUGAUUGGACUUGGUCUUCUCUUGAAAUGCAUUUAAGAGCCUAAAAGCUGCUGAGAAUGUAUUCUUUCAAUAUAAAUAUAUAGUAAAGCAAGUGAGACCAGAAAGCAGCUGACGAUUGAGUAAACAGAAGAGCUGACAUGAAGCUUUUACUUAAGACAGGAGCCUGGUUGGCAGAUGUAACUUCUUGCCACAUAAAUACAAAUGUCUUGUCAGUUUAUGAUUAAACAUAACAGGUCCCUUUUUCUUACUCAAUUCCUGAUGAAUCUGAAAGAUAAAGCUGUAGAAAGUAUAGUUGAUGGUCUCAUCAGUUACUUUGUUGCCUUGCAGGCCUGCCCAUUUGAGGCAGAUGAUCAGAGUACGGUAAGAGGCAUGUCCUUCUCAGAUUAAAGGGCCAUAGCCUUGGUCUUGGCUCAUAGUCCAGGGUCAUUCUGGAGAGGGAACCCAGCUUUGUCCCCUCCUUUGGAGGGCUUAUAACUCAGAUAUUAACAUUUGCUGAAGAUGGUUGUAAUUUUUUUUGUUCUGAGGUACAAGAUCUCUUCUAAAUAGCUAAAAAAGAAUUUAGUUGAUUCUAAGUGAAAAGUGAGUUCAUGGAAAGCACUUUGUUGCCAUGUGUUUCUUAAAGACCACAGAAGACUUUUGGGCUCCAGUUAAGCAAGUCCCCUUCGAUUUGGCUCCAGAUGCAGUGAUACCCCACGAAGGGGAAGUUUAAAGUGAAACUUGGCAACUGGUGAUUGAGUCUUAUCUUCCCAACUCUCCUCCAACGCCCCCACCCACACAUAUAAGAGAACCACCAUCCAAAGACAGAACUUAGGAGAGUUGUUGAAUUGAAAUGAUAGUUUCAUUGAUGUAAGUUUUGUAAAAUACCUUUAAGGCAGAGAUUCUCAAAUGGAAGUGAUUUUGUCCCCCAAGGGACAUUUGACAAUGUCUGGAGACAUUGGGGUUGUAACAACUAGGAGUGGAUGAUUGCUACCGGCAUCUAGUGAGUGGAGCCAGAGAUGCUGGUAAACAUUCUGAAAUACCUGCCCCCUACAUAGAACAAACAGUCAUCCAGGCCAAAAUGUCAAUAGUGUGAAGGUUGAGGAACCCUGCUCUCAAGAACCUUUGAAUCAAUGAAGGAUGAGGAGUUGGGAGAGGUUACUCUCUCUAGGGAAUGGGUUACCAUACAGAAUUUCUACUUAGAAAAAAAAUCUAUAAUUAUGACAUUAUAAAUAAUCAUACUAGAAUUUGGAAAAAUUUCUUAUAAAAUGUGCUUGGCCAGGCA
rnacentral:lncRNA from 1 species